rnacentral:rRNA from 1 species
GAUGAACGCUGGCGGCGUGCCUAAUACAUGCAAGUCGAACGGAAAGGCCCGGCGCUUGCGGGGCGCUCGAGAGGCGAACGGGGGAGUAAAACGCGAGUAUACCCCCCUUAACUGUGGGAUAACAUCAGGAAAAUGGGGAGAAUACCGGAUAGGAGCUCCUGCUGCAUGGUGGGGGUUGGAAAGUUUCGGCGGUGCUGGCUGGAAUCGCGGGUUAUCAGCUUGAUGGUCGGGUAGUGGCGUACAAAGGCUUUGACGGCUAGCCGGCCUGAGAGGGUGACCAGCGACAUUGGUACUGAGGUACGGACCAGAAGCCUACGGGAGGCAGUAGUGGGGAAUAUUGCGCAAUGGGCGGAAGCCUGAUGCGGCAGUGCCGCGUGCGUGAAGACGGCCUUCGGGUUGAGAACAACUGUCGCAUGUACCGAAGACUGCGUGACGGUACUGGGUCAGGAAGCCCCGGCUAACUACGUG